CAAUUGCCUAAUGCAAACUGUACGACAGGACUGGCACUUAACUUGGAUCCAAGGCGAGUAAACGGUGCGAUGUGAACAUACACAUGAAGGACUGGCCCUGGCCCUAGCGCGAGUACUAACAUCGGUGCAGCAAGAUGAACAUGUACAGAUAUGUAUGAAUGUCAUGAUAGUAAUAUCCCAACCAUAUAGCAGCAUUUAUCACAAUUAAUAUAACAAUAACAAUACUUUGCAAUAUAAGCGUAAAAGUGAAGUAAAUAUGCAUUUAUGGAAACUAUAAUUAUGUAUAGGUAUAAAAACAACUGCCCACUCACAGAUACGCAGUUCAAACAAAACCUCCGAGCCUUGCUUGACCCCGUACGUCCUCAAGAUACGUUUCCCCUACAUGUGAAAUUACUAAUUAACUUAGUUUAAUAACACAAACUAAAACUUAAAUAAAACCUUUGUAGAUUGCUCAAACAUAAGGUUUGAAUAUAUGAAAUUGAUCUACUCGACGUCACGGACCUACACAAAUUUUUAGAAUAAUUUUUGGACACCGGAUGUGCCGGCUAUGGCACGGCCACACGCGCAGGUAGAGCUGAUAGAGACCUAACGGCUGUUAGGAAUAUUUCGUUAAAAGGUAAUAGAAGUUAACGAUGUUACCUGAUGCCGUUAGAAUAUUCCAUCAGAGUUAACGGAAUAUUCCGUCGUCUUCUCCGAUGGUCCUCACCGAUCGCCACGGUCUGAACUCACCGGAAUCUGGAAAUUUUCACCGGUUUCUGGUUAAAAUUUCAAACCUUCAUAUCUUCUUUAUUUCUCAACCAUUUUUCACAAACAUUAUAUGGAAAUAAAGCUUAUGAAGAGUAGAAUCGCGUUAUACCUUUUUGAAGUCCAAAAAGUGGACGGAGGUGGCCUGAAAAAGCCUCGAAAUGUACGGCUAAAACUGGGACUUCUCUUAAUCUUGUGCUUCAAGGUUGAUUCAUCACCAAACCUUCACUUAAAACCUUAGGGAGUUGUAAGAAAGCUUCCCCGACCUUCAAAACUCCUCGACUCAGCCUGAAAACAUCGAUCCAGAACUCACCGAGUUUGUGAGUCAAACCUCAACCAAAUCGAGAUCUGGUUACACGGUUGUGAUCAUUGGGUUAAGGGAAGUUCAAAGGUGUAGGUUACAAGUCACAUUUGUAGGGGGUUUGGAUGUUGUUAAAAAGAGUUGCAAAGAGAAUGUGCGAGAGAGAAAGAGUGUUCUUCGAUUGGGUGAUGGGUUUGUUGGUGAUGAUCUGAUUGGUUGCUUUUAAAUGAGGGAAAUCAACUGAUUAGUGAAGGAGAAAAGUAAGGGAAAAGGAAUGGUGGUGAGGGAUUAGUGGAAAAAUCAAAUUGAAUAAUUUGAUUGGUUAAGUGUGAGGGGACCGGAUCCACUUUUAGGGAUUUUGUACAAUUUUAAAUGUACAAAAUCAGCCUCUUUAACAGUGUUUUUUGACACUGUAAAUUUCUACCCGCGUGUACAAAAUUACCUAUGAUUAACAUACUUUAACGAAGCGUAACUUUUUCUUUAUAGAUCUUAUUCGAGUCUAACACGCACUCACGCGCUCGUAGCGACGAGUACUAAUUUAGUACGAAACUAGGAAAAUGAAACUGAAAACCAAAAGCCACAUCCACAUCAGAUUCUACUUUUGUCCAAAAAGGGUAAAAUCAUCAACUCACACCAAUAGAAAAGAAAUUACAGUGAAAAAUAAGGACGGGUCGUCACAAGUAUAAAUUUAUAAAAUUUGGUUUAAUGAUAAAUAAAUUUAACUAGAAUCGUUGAUUUUGUUGUUUGAAAUUAACGAGGAGGUUUUGGGUUCAAAACACCAUAUGUGCUUAUUUAAAUUCCAAUUUUUACAAAUUUCUUUUCAUAACAGUAUAAAUUGAUAAAAUUUGGCUAAAUGAUCAAAAGUUUAAUUAGAAGCAAUGGUUUUUGUAUCUAAAAUUAACGAGAGGUCCUAAGUUCGAAAUGCUAUGUGCAUGUUUUUUUUUCUUCAAUUUUUACGAAUUUUUGUUUGGUUGUUAAUUUAUUCUUAAUUACUAGCUAGUAACUAUGUGGGUUACUAUUUUUAAACGUUCAUUCUAAUUCAAGUCUAAUCUUCAACAAAGGAUAAUGCGUAGACUAAAU
rnacentral:lncRNA from 1 species